rfam:Spirosoma linguale DSM 74, complete genome.
GCCGUUAUAGCUCAGCGGUAGAGCACUUCCUUGGUAAGGAAGAGGUCCGGGGUUCAAGUCCCCGUAACGGCU